rnacentral:rRNA from 1 species
UACGUAGGGUGCGAGCGUUGUCCGGAAUUAUUGGGCGUAAAGAGCUCGUAGGCGGUUUGUCGCGUCGACUGUGAAAACCCGAGGCUUAACCUCGGGCCUGCAGUCGAUACGGGCAGACUAGAGUUCGGUAGGGGAGACUGGAAUUCCUGGUGUAGCGGUGAAAUGCGCAGAUAUCAGGAGGAACACCGGUGGCGAAGGCGGGUCUCUGGGUCGAUACUGACGCUGAGGAGCGAAAGCGUGGGGAGCGAACAGG